GAUCAUGGCUCAGGAUGAACGCUGGCGGCGUGCCUAACACAUGCAAGUCGAGCGAUUCUCUUCGGAGAAGAGCGGCGGACGGGUGAGUAACGCGUGGGUAACCUGGCCUCAUACACAUGGAUAACAUACCGAAAGGUAUGCUAAUACAGGAUAACAUAAGAGAUUCACAUGGAUUUCUUAUCAAAGCUCCGGCGGUAUGAGAUGGACCCGCGUCUGAUUAGCUAGUUGGUAAGGUAACGGCUUACCAAGGCGACGAUCAGUAGCCGACCUGAGAGGGUGAUCGGCCACAUUGGAACUGAGACACGGUCCAAACUCCUACGGGAGGCAGCAGUGGGGAAUAUUGCACAAUGGGCGAAAGCCUGAUGCAGCAACGCCGCGUGAGUGAUGAAGGCCUUCGGGUCGUAAAACUCUGUCCUCAAGGAAGACUAAUCCGACGGUUACUUGACGGUAGGAACGCCCGGCUAACUACGUGCCAGCCGCCGC
rnacentral:rRNA from 1 species